UACGUAGGGGGCAAGCGUUGUCCGGAUUUAUUGGGCGUAAAGAGCGUGUAGGCGGCCUGACAGGUCUGCUGUGAAAACUCGAGGCUCAACCUCGAGAUGUCGGCGGAAACCGUCUGGCUAGAGUCCGGAAGAGGAGAGUGGAAUUCCUGGUGUAGCGGUGAAAUGCGCAGAUAUCGGGAGGAACACCGGUGGCGAAGGCGGUUCUCUGGGCCUUACCUGACGCUGAGGAGCGAAAGCGUGGGGAGCGAACAGG
rnacentral:rRNA from 1 species